CUUCUGUUGUUACGUCACGGCUAGCAGGUAUUAACUACUAACUUUUCCUCACAACUGAAAGUGCUUUACAACCCGAAGGCCUUCUUCACACACGCGGCAUGGCUGCAUCAGGGUUUCCCCCAUUGUGCAAUAUUCCCCACUGCUGCCUCC
rnacentral:rRNA from 1 species